CCCUCGCCUCAGGCGCCGCUUCCGCCGGAAGAACGCGCGGCGACCAAUCAGCGCUCGCAGAGCCUCGCUAAAUCCCGCCCUCCCGGCUGUGGAUUGCGGUUGGGCUCGCCUCCUGCCUCGCGCUGUGCUGACAGCUUCGCUAGCCAAUCAGAGAGCGAGAUGAAGGCUAACCCCGCCCUCCCUGCUUGUCCUGUUAGCCAAUCAUGGGCUGGCUAAGCAACAGAGAGGCGCGCCCACCGCGUGCCCGGCGGCGACCAAUCACAGCCGCAGCUCCCGCUGGGGGGCGUGCCCCGCCCACCACCACCCUCUUACCCAAUCACGCCCGGGGGCAGAGCGGAUUGGCGUGCGCGCGAGCCAAUAGGGAACGAGAGGAGGCGGGGCAGACACGCUUUAUUGAUAUAGGGGAGACCGGGCCAUGACCCCAUUGGGGGGGGGGGGGGGGGACAUUUUGGGGUCCCCCUGCUCUGGGGGUCCCCAGCGGGGGUCCCCGCUUUUUGGGGUGCCCCCAUGGUGUCCGUACCCCCAGGGGAACCCCACUUUGGGGGGUCCCCGCUCUGGGGAUACCCCCCAGGGGGCCCCAUUUUGGGGGGUCCCCUUAUUGGGGUGCCCUAAUUUUGGGGUGUCACCCCCGGGGACCCCUUUUUGGGGUGACCCCGGUGCCCCUGGAUCCCCAGGGGGUUCCCUCGAGUGUGUCCGUACCCCUUGGGGUCUCCCAUUUUUGGGGUGUCCCCAUUUUGGGGUGUCCCCUUUCUCUCUGUCCCCCCAGGAGGGCCCACAUUUCGGGGUGUCCCCAGACCACGUGUACCCAGAGUCCCCAUUAUGGGGUGACCCCCUUCUAGGGGUACCCCUAUGGGGGUGACCCCCAUUUUUGGGGUGUCCCCGGUAUGUCCGUACCCCACGGGACCCCAUUUUGGGGUGUAACCGUUUUCGGGUGUCCCCAUUCCAGCUGUACCCCCAAUAAGUCCCCUUUUUGGGGUGUCCCCAUGUACCCCCAUGGGGACCCCAUUUUAGGGUGUCCCCUGUCCCUUUAUACCCCCAGGAGGCCCCAUUUUGGGGUCCCCAUUCCACCUACACCCCCAAAGGGGGGGUCUCCAAUUUUUGGGGUGUCCCUCGUGGAUUCCUGACACCCCCAUUUUGGGUUUUCCCCAGCCCCUUCAUACCCCAAGGCUCAUCCCCACACUUUUGGGGUUUCCCCAGUCUCUUGGGGAAAAACCCCCAAUUUUUGGGUGUGAGGUCCCCGAAUUUUCAGGGAGAAGCCCCCAAAUUUUUGGGGAGAAGUCCCCAAAUUUUCAAGGAGAAGUCCCCAAAUUUUCAGGGUGAGGUCCCCAAAUUUUCGGGGAAAAGUCCCCACAUUUUUGGGGUAACAUCCCCCAAUUUUCAGGGAGAAGUCCCAAAAUUCUUAGGGAGAAGUCUCCAAAUUUUCAGGGAGAAUCCCCCAAAUUCUCAGGGUGGGGUCCCCAAAUUUUCAGGGAAAAGUCCCCAAAUUUUCAGGGAGAAGCCCCCAGAUUCUCAGGGAGAAGUCCCCAAAUUUUCGAGGGAGAAGCCCCCAAUUUUUUGGGGUGAGGUCCCCAAAUUUUCAGGGAGGGAUCCCCAAAUUUUCUGGGUGGAAUCCCCAAAUUUUCGGGGUGCGAUCCCCAAAUUUUCGAGGGGGGGUCCCCAAUUUUUCAGGGAGAAAUCCCCAGAUUUUCAGGGAGAAGCCCCCACAUUUUCAGGGAAAAGUCCCCAGUUCUUCAGGGAAAAGCCCCCAAAUUUUCAGGGAGAAGCUCCCAAAUUUUCAGUGUGGGACUCCCAAAUUUUCGGGGUGGGAUCCCCAAAUUUUCGGGGAAAAGUCCUCACAUUUUUGGGGAGAAGUCCCCAAAUUUUCAAGGAGAAGUCCCCAAAUUUUCAGGGAAAAAUCCCCAAUUCUUCAGGAAAAAGUCCCCAAAUUUUCAGGGUGAGGUCCCCAAAUUUUCGGGGUGGGAUCCCCAGAUUUUUGGGGUGUCCCCCCCCCGUUUUAGGGCUGCAUGCGCAGGGCCCCGUCCAGCCUCACCACCUCCCCGUUGAUCAUCGGGUUUUCGGCCAGCGCCUGCACCAGGUGGGCGAAUUCCCCCGGGUGCCCCAAACGGGACGGGAAGGGCACCUGCUGCCCCAAAAAGUUCCGAACCCGUUCGGGCAAACCGGCCAGCAACGGGGUGGAGAACAACCCUAAAAGGGACAAAAAAAAGGGGGUGAGUCGGUUACCCUAUACCCUUUUCCACCCUAAAAAUAAAGGGGGUGAAGCGUUUGCCCUAUAACUUUUC
rnacentral:lncRNA from 1 species